rnacentral:rRNA from 1 species
CCCUUAGAUGUUCUGGGCCGCACGCGCGCUACACUGACGAAUGCAACGAGCUUAUAACCUUGGCCGAAAGGUCUGGGUAAUCUCCAAAUUUCGUCGUGAUGGGGAUAGAUUAUUGCAAUUAUUAAUCUUCAACGAGGAAUGCCUAGUAAGCGCAAGUCAUCAGCUUGCGUUGAUUACGUCCCAGCCCUUUGUACACACCGCCCGUCGCUCCUACCGAUUGAAUGGUCCGGUGAAGCGUUCGGACCGUGGCCUUUGGACGGUUCGCCGUCUGUUGGCUGCGGGAAGUUCGUUAAACCUUAUCAUUUAGAGGAAGGAGAANUCGUANCA